UACGUAGGGGGCUAGCGUUGUCCGGAAUCAUUGGGCGUAAAGAGCGUGUAGGCGGCCCGGUAAGUCCGCUGUAAAAGUCAAAGGCUCAACCUUUGAAUGUCAGUGGAUACUGCCGGGCUAGAGUCCGGAAGAGGCGAGUGGAACUCCUGGUGUAGCGGUGGAAUGCGCAGAUAUCAGGAGGAACACCGGUGGCGAAGGCGGAUCUCUGGGCCGAUACUGACGCUGAGGAGCGAAAGCGUGGGGAGCAAACAGG
rnacentral:rRNA from 1 species